rnacentral:misc_RNA from 1 species
CCGAGUUUUAGGGUCUGCCUUUUGGUGGCCCGAACCUCCCAACCCUGUGUUUAUUGACCGACGUUGCUUCGGCGGACCGGAAACCCUUUCUCCUCGGAGGGGGGCGACCGCCGGUGGGUGCUUCGACACCCGCUGGAGAGUGUUCGCCGAUGGCCAACAUCCCAAACUCUUGUACCAAAACGUGUCGUCUGAAUAUUAGUGAUUGUAUAAUCAAAAAACA